AUUCGGGAUAGGAGGGGAGUUUGCGUGCCCUUUUCCGCAAAUCGUUGAUGGCGGUCCGAACACCGAGGGGCGGUUCAGCCGGUCCGGAGGAUUCCCGCAGGCGGACGUCGAUGUCUCGCCCCCACGUGACCCGGGUGUCAUGAACCGAAGCCGGAAGGAAUCGGGAACCGAAUAACCGGGGGAUCAGGUCAGGCCGGGAACGGAGCAGCCCUACCUGGGGCCAUGGGUGCCGUGGGGUAUCGGGACGGAGGAAGUCUGUGGAAUUGGUCCACUGGAUACGAGAAUCCACCUUUGGGAUUCCCACUU
rnacentral:SRP_RNA from 2 species